GAUAACAGGCAUCAGCCACCACGCCCGGCCCCAAGUUCUGAGUCUUCUAAUCUUACAGUUUAUGUUUGGUACUUGUUCUCUCUUGCUCUAGAUUCUGCCUGAUCAAUGCAGGAGUGCUGUACCUCUACUUCAGCAAUUAUCUACAGAUUGAUGAGGAAGAAUAUGGCGGCACAUGGGAGCUCAUGAAAGAAGGGUUUAUGACCUCUUUUGCCUUGUUCAUGGUCAUCUGGAUCAUCUUUUACACUGCCAUUCAUUAUGACUGAUGGUGUACAGCUCUCAACUGCUCCCUACCCAGUCCAAAGGAUCCUCUUGAUUACAGCACAGGAACUUGAUCGUUGGGGAACCCCAGCCCCUUGGAACUUGGAAGACCCAUGUUUCCUGGACCAUGAAUCAGUGUGUUGGGCAUCAGUGCUUUCUGCAAGGGUUGUGACCUGAAACUUUUUAAAAACCACCCACCUUUGGGGAAGCAUUUCUGAAUUUAUCCGUCACCAACCAUUUCUUCUUGGAUACCAUCAAGUAACAGCUGUUUGCCAAGUGGAGCUGUCAUUUAAUUUGAUGCACCUCUGGAUUCAGAUGAAACAUUAAAUUGUCUUCCUCGAUUCUCCAUCAGGUGUACAGUUUUUAAACUAUCAGUGGCAUUUAAAGUCUUCUGAAACAGCAUGGCUGUAUGUGUCCAUAUCACAGUACAGGCAGCAUCUAAUAACAGUUUCCAUUGUAGAAUGUUUUCAGAUACUUGAAUAAAUCAAAUCUUUAAUUGAGAA